ensembl:lncRNA
GGGGGCUAAGGAUAUGUGUACUAACUUGAGUUACUACACUGGAGGGGUUUAUUCUCCCUUGAUUGCACGUAGCUUCUUAUGACCGCUCACGCAGCUACAGAUUUUUGUAUACUUGGACCUGGUGGAUGCACUGCUAGCCUAAACAGAGACUGGACUGAUCAAGAUUUCCAGAUGCAAUCAGACAGCUCAUCUGACAGCACUGGCAAGAAAAAGAAAAUGGAACAUACUUUGUACCAAAAGGGCUAAAGCAAGUGUAUUUGGCAGAGUGAUAAACAGUUGAAAACAAGGUCUGAUUUGGCAGUGGCUUAGGGAUCCUUUGCUGAGAGCUGCUCAAGCUACCUGCAGAUACCAAGGCUUCCAACAUGGUGACAUCAGGUGACAGUGUCUUCUGCACAUGGUGCCCAAGCGCUGAGCUGCAGUAGGGAACAAAGGGGUAGAAUUUAGAUUCUGGGGUCUGGGAAGUGUGGACAGAACCACCCACCCUCCAGAUCCAUGGAAUCUUUUGGUUUUCUUAGGGCACGUGUAACCUGCAGUACUCAAGAGCUUCUGUUUAAAUAGCCUUUCUGCACCACCUAUAUUGGUCAGAGGAGGGAAACUUUUAACUUUCCAAGUUGAUCUCUGCCACAGAACAGAUCCUCUGCCUGCCCUGUAUUCUGGUGAACAAUGUGUACAGUGUUUCAUGUUCCAGAAGGAGAUGGAUGAAGGGUUCCAGGAAACUGAAGUGCUUCUGAGAGCCCUGUGCUGCUCCUGUACACGUUUAAUGACUCUAAAGGAAAGCAGGUUCUAUAAAAUGUCCUACAGUUUCAUCUGUGUUUCUGAAAUGCAGCAGCAUUUGCUUGAUGUUACAGCAUGAACUUUAGCCCAGCUGGGUAGUUUGUCUUCAAGCAACACAAAUGCCUGACUGUCAGAAAUACCUUCAAUAUUAAACUCUGUGCCUUUAAGGGGGGUACAUUUGGCAUUAAACAGACUUACCAGCUAAUGAAUUUCUCAAGUUACAAGAAUAAUGGCCUUUUUAAUCUUAGCAAGAAUAAUUAAACAGACAUUUGUUAUUAAUGAUGUUGUUAAUGGCAGCAGAUAUUGAAUUUUCUCUGUAGAUAUCAUAAAGUUGUGUGGUGAUUUUUUUGGAGGUUUUUGUUAACUUGAUUGGGCAGUGAAGCUAAAAAUGUAGAAUAUAAUUUUUUCUUCCUUCUGGAGGUAUUAAUUUUUGCCACAUAUCUAGAAGACUCUUCUUUGCCUUCAUUUUAUUCUUAUUGGAGAUCCUUGCCUUUGCCUUCCUUCACUGGCUAAUCUGAUAGCAAACAGACUAGGUCAGCCUUCUACCACCUGUGAGUAGCCUGGAAUGAUUCCUGUAGGAAGGAAUGUGAAUGGCAGCAACUAUUUCUGCAGUCCUUACACUGGGUUUGCUGAAAGUUCUUGUUUGUGUUUUGCCUCAGGGAAAUAUGAGUUUGUUGCAUGUCCAGGGACCAUGCCGAUCUGUGCUCUCCCCUGUUCUCUGAUUGUCUGGGAUUGCAUGCAAAUACUGACAGGGUGCAACGCAUUCUCCAGGAAGCAGUUACUCAACCCUGGUCAAUGCUGUGGAGCAGUCAGCAGCUCCAGCGGUGUCCCUGUGGAGGAGUCUCCUUCACUCUGCUUCUCUUACACAUUCAUUUUCUGUACUAUGGUUUCAGAUAUCCCUAUGCUAGGCUUCCUGCUCAUUGCUUUUUCCCUUGGUUUGUGGAAAUCACUUGUCAGUAGUUAUGGUAAUCACAACAUCUUGUGGUCUUUCCUUUACUAGUCCUCAGGGAAAUGACAUGUGGGUUUAUUAGUGUGUGGGUUUCUCAGACCUUUGUGAUGGGAAGACAAUUUAAUCAGAAUAAUUUUUCCAUGAAAUGAAGGCCUUUUCUGACCAGGCUUAGAAACAGCUUUUUCAGUGGCAUGGGACCCUGCUUGACUCAUGUGCCUUUCACAUCUUAAUUUCUCCUGAGAAAAAUGCUUUACAAAAGCUUUAAGAAAUCCUCUGAAGUCCAGAGACCAGGAUUUGUCUGCUUUUGGAUUGUGUCUGUCAGUGGCUGCUUUCCAAGCUCUCAUGUUUCUGUGAAUUCCAGUUUACACCUUUUAAAAGCACUCCUUCUGAUUUGGCUUGCUCUCCUCCUGGGUUUGCUCUCUGCUCCCAGCCCGUUCCAAUCACAUGCAAAACCUGCAGCUUCUGCUGGUCCUCCAAGUAUUACUUUACAUUUUAAAGAAGGGGAAAACCCCCUAAGCAAGACAAAGAGCCCUGGCAUUAGUUGCUAAUUUCCCUUUCUCUGUCAAGAUUAUGUUAGUAGCUCUGAGUAAUUUGGUCUGAUUUUCUCAGGGGACUAGGACUGAAAUAAUGCAAUGUUUAUUUUUAUACAAAUUCUCACAGUGCUACAAUGUUUCAGAGACUUCCUGGGAUGUUUCUAGUUUUUUUUUUCACAGACGAAAAGGCUGUUCUCAGAGGUAGCUCCUUCAUGUAAACCUAAAAAUGGCACUUUCCCACAAUACAGCUUAUCAGGAAGUUUAAAGUUCAGUAGUCUCUCUCUCGCUCUCUCUCCCUGUCUCACACACAUGAAAGUAAAGAAUAAAAAAUGAAGGGGCUGUUCCAGUUCUGCUGAGAGUUGCUUUUCAAUCAUACUGUUUCAGUGUGCUGACUGAUCAUAAUGGCUUGGUGGGGCCUGUGAUGGCCUAACAACAGAAUGAGGCAACAUUUGUGGAGAAAUAUAGCCACUUUUAUUCAAUAAAUUGUGAUGGAUUCACUCAGUGAGUUACGAGUGCUCAUAACGCUGCUCUUGCUUACACACAUAUGGAUAUGGGCAUAAAGCUAACCUCACUACUAAGGCAUUAAAAUUGGAAUGUCAUGAUUCUGCUGCCUCCUGAGUGUCUGAAAUGGUUUGAUUAGGAAUAACUAAG